rnacentral:rRNA from 1 species
AUGAACGCUAGCUACAGGCUUAACACAUGCAAGUCGAGGGGCAGCAUCAUCAAAGCUUGCUUUGAUGGAUGGCGACCGGCGCACGGGUGAGUAACACGUAUCCAACCUGCCGACAACGCUGGGAUAGCCUUUCGAAAGAAAGAUUAAUACCGGAUGGCAUAAUUAUUCCGCAUGGGAUAAUUAUUAAAGAAUUUCGGUUGUCGAUGGGGAUGCGUUCCAUUAGGCAGUUGGCGGGGUAACGGCCCACCAAACCUACGAUGGAUAGGGGUUCUGAGAGGAAGGUCCCCCACAUUGGAACUGAGACACGGUCCAAACUCCUACGGGAGGCAGCAGUGAGGAAUAUUGGUCAAUGGACGAGAGUCUGAACCAGCCAAGUAGCGUGAAGGAUGACUGCCCUAUGGGUUGUAAACUUCUUUUAUACGGGAAUAAAGUGAGCCACGUGUGGCUUUUUGUAUGUACCGUAUGAAUAAGGAUCGGCUAACUCCGUGCCAGCAGCCGCGGUAAUACGGAGGAUUCGAGCGUUAUCCGGAUUUAUUGGGUUUAAAGGGAGCGUAGGCGGGUUGUUAAGUCAGUUGUGAAAGUUUGCGGCUCAACCGUAAAAUUGCAGUUGAUACUGGCGACCUUGAGUGCAACAGAGGUAGGCGGAAUUCGUGGUGUAGCGGUGAAAUGCUUAGAUAUCACGAAGAACUCCGAUUGCGAAGGCAGCUUACUGGAUUGUAACUGACGCUGAUGCUCGAAAGUGUGGGUAUCAAACAGGAUUAGAUACCCUGGUAGUCCACACAGUAAACGAUGAAUACUCGCUGUUGGCGAUAUACAGUCAGCGGCCAAGCGAAAGCAUUAAGUAUUCCACCUGGGGAGUACGCCGGCAACGGUGAAACUCAAAGGAAUUGACGGGGGCCCGCACAAGCGGAGGAACAUGUGGUUUAAUUCGAUGAUACGCGAGGAACCUUACCCGGGCUUAAAUUGCAACUGACGGAACCGGAAACGGUUCUUUCUUCGGACAGUUGUGAAGGUGCUGCAUGGUUGUCGUCAGCUCGUGCCGUGAGGUGUCGGCUUAAGUGCCAUAACGAGCGCAACCCUUACGGGUAGUUACCAUCAGGUUAUGCUGGGGACUCUACCCGGACUGCCGUCGUAAGAUGUGAGGAAGGUGGGGAUGACGUCAAAUCAGCACGGCCCUUACGUCCGGGGCUACACACGUGUUACAAUGGGGGGUACAGAAGGCAGCUACACGGCGACGUGGUGCUAAUCCCAAAAGCCUCUCUCAGUUCGGAUUGGAGUCUGCAACCCGACUCCAUGAAGCUGGAUUCGCUAGUAAUCGCGCAUCAGCCACGGCGCGGUGAAUACGUUCCCGGGCCUUGUACACACCGCCCGUCAAGCCAUGAAAGCCGGGGGUACCUGAAGUACGUAACCGCGAGGAGCGUCCUAGGGUAAAACUGGUGAUUGGGGCU